GACGAACGCUGGCGGCGUGCUUAACACAUGCAAGUCGAACGGAAAGGCCCUGCUUUUGUGGGGUGCUAGAGUGGCGAACGGGUGAGUAACAUGUGAGUAACCUGCCCUUGACUUUGGGAUAACUUCAGGAAACUGGGGCUAAUACCGGAUAGGAGCUCCUGCUGCAUGGUGGGGGUUGGAAAGUUUCGGCGGUUGGGGAUGGACUUGGGGCUUAUCAGCUUGUUGGUGGGGUAGUGGCUUACCAAGGCUUUGACGGGUAGCCGGCCUGAGAGGGUGACCGGCCACAUUGGGACUGAGAUACGGCCCAGACUCCUACGGGAGGCAGCAGUGGGGAAUAUUGCACAAUGGGCGGAAGCCUGAUGCAGCAACGCCGCGUGCGGGAUGACGGCCUUCGGGUUGUAAACCGCUUUCGCCUGUGACGAAGCGUGAGUGACGGUAAUGGGUAAAGAAGCACCGGCUAACUACGUG
rnacentral:rRNA from 1 species